rnacentral:rRNA from 1 species
AGCGUAGACGGAGUGGCAAGUCUGAUGUGAAAACCCGGGGCUCAACCCCGGGACUGCAUUGGAAACUGUCAAUCUAGAGUACCGGAGAGGUAAGCGGAAUUCCUAGUGUAGCGGUGAAAUGCGUAGAUAUUAGGAGGAACACCAGUGGCGAAGGCGGCCUGCUGGACAUUAACUGACGCUGAGGCGCGAAAGCGUGGGGAGCAAACA